GCCUGGCUAGCUCAGUCAGUAAAGUAUGAGUAAAGUAAAGUAUUAAUCUCAGGGUCAUGGGUUUGAGCCUCAUGUUGGGUC